rnacentral:rRNA from 2 species
CCUACGGGAGGCAGCAGUGGGGAAUAUUGGACAAUGGGCGAAAGCCUGAUCCAGCCAUGCCGCGUGUGUGAAGAAGGUCUUCGGAUUGUAAAGCACUUUAAGUUGGGAGGAAGGGCAUUAACCUAAUACGUUAGUGCUUUGACGUUACCGACAGAAUAAGCACCGGCUAACUCUGUGCCAGCAGCCGCGGUAAU